GGAGAGAUGGCCGAGUGGUCGAAGGCGCACGCCUGGAGAGCGUGUAGGCGCCAAAAGCGCCUCCUGGGUUCGAAUCCCAGUCUCUCCG
rnacentral:tRNA from 1 species